UACGGGAGGCAGCAGUGGGGAAUAUUGCACAAUGGGCGAAAGCCUGAUGCAGCUAUGCCGCGUGUAUGAAGAAGGCCUUAGGGUUGUAAAGUACUUUCAUCGGGGAGGAAAAAACAAAACUAAUAAUUUUAUUUCUUGACGUUACCCGAAAAAGAAGCACCGGCUAACUCCGUGCCAGCAGCCGCGGUAAUACGGAGGGUGCGAGCGUUAAUCGGAAUUACUGGGCGUAAAGGGCACGCAGGCGGUUAAUUAAGUUGGAUGUGAAAUCCCCGGGCUUAACCUGGGAAUGGCAUUCAAGACUGGUUAGCUAGAGUCUUGUAGAGGGGGUAGAAUUCCAUGUGUAGCGGUGAAAUGCGUAGAGAUGUGGAGGAAUACCGGUGGCGAAGGCGGCCCCUGGGACAAAGGACUGACGCUCAUGUGCGAAAGCGUGGGGAGCAAACAGGGAUUAGAUACC
rnacentral:rRNA from 1 species